GCCUUUUUAGCUCAGUUGGUAGAGCAACGCAUUCGUAAUGCGUAGGUCGGGGGUUCGAGUCCCCCAAAAGGCU
rnacentral:tRNA from 1 species